rnacentral:rRNA from 1 species
CGGCAGCGGACCUUCGGGUAGCCGGCGAGUGGCGAACGGGUGAGUAAUACAUCGGAACGUACCCAGUAGCGGGGGAUAGCCCGGCGAAAGCCGGAUUAAUACCGCAUACGCCCUACGGGGGAAAGGGGGGGAUCUUCGGACCUCUCACUAUUGGAGCGGCCGAUGGCUGAUUAGCUAGUUGGUGGGGUAAAGGCCUACCAAGGCGACGAUCAGUAGCUGGUCUGAGAGGACGACCAGCCACACUGGGACUGAGACACGGCCCAGACUCCUACGGGAGGCAGCAGUGGGGAAUUUUGGACAAUGGGCGAAAGCCUGAUCCAGCAAUGCCGCGUGUGCGAAGAAGGCCUUCGGGUUGUAAAGCACUUUUGUCAGGAAAGAAAGGGUCUGGGCUAAUACCCCGGGCCAUUGACGGUACCUGAAGAAUAAGCACCGGCUAACUACGUGCCAGCAGCCGCGGUAAUACGUAGGGUGCAAGCGUUAAUCGGAAUUACUGGGCGUAAAGCGUGCGCAGGUGGUUUGUUAAGACAGUUGUGAAAUCCCCGGGCUCAACCUGGGAACUGCAAUUGUGACUGGCAGACUAGAGUUUGGCAGAGGGGGGUGGAAUUCCUGGUGUAGCAGUGAAAUGCGUAGAUAUCAGGAGGAACACCGAUGGCGAAGGCAGCCCCCUGGGCCAUGACUGACACUCAUGCACGAAAGCGU